GUAGCUACGAUAUUCAGAGUCAGCAUGUAAAUGGUAAAAUCUUAGGGUUUUGUUUGUUCUCACUUGUAAAUGAUCACUGCCCAAUGAUGAAUGGUUGUUUAGAUAUGGUACUCUCAAUAAUAUUCAAAGCUUUUCCAUCCCAUCUGCCUUUCACCACACACUGCCAUCACUAUGCUCUUCUCUUCUUCUUUUUCUUCCACUCGUCGCACCACCACCAACAUUAUUAUUAUUAUUAUUAUUAAUUAAUAUUAUUCAUAGUGACAGUGGGUGAGAUGGUGGAGGUUAUGCUUUAUGUGCAUUGCCUUGUUGGAUGUUGAGGAGAGGCUUUGAAAAACUACCAAUCUAACUAUAUCUGAGGGCGGAAUUGUUCUGAGGGGGAGCCUUGGCGCAACAGUAAAGUUGUUGUCAUGUGAUUGAAAGGUCACGGGUUAUAGUCCUGGAAACAACCACUUGUGUAAAAGACAUGGUAAGGCUGCGUACAAUACACCAAAUGGUUGGACCCCUUCCCGGAUCCUACGUAUGCGGGAGCUUUGUGCACCGGGCCUCCCCCUUUUUAAUCGUCAAUACAGUUCUGUUUAGGCUUAAUAGAUUUUACUUGGCAGGCUUAAUUAGGUAUUAUUUUAAUUAUGGUUGUAUUUUGGCAAUUAUAUUUUUCAAUUACUUGAUUUUUCAAUGUAUUGCUUUUAUCAGCAGAUUUACCUAUCUAUUUGAUCUUGAAAUUUUGAGUACUUCUUUAAGUUGUUCGUUGCUAUUUUGAGCUUUUCAUUUGAUGAUUGCCUAUUAUACUUGCUCAAGUCCCUUUGGAAAAACUCUAUCGUGUCUUCUCGAUAUGCCCAAUGAUGAAUGCUUGUUAAGAUAUGGUACUCUAAAUAAUGAAAGCCUUUCCGUCCCUUCUGCCACUCUUCAUACUGCCAUCACUGUCGUCUUCUUCUAUUUGUCGUCGCCAUCAUCAUCAUCAACAGCGACGUUAUUACUAUUACUAUUAUUAUUAUUCAUAGGGACAGUGGGUCGAGAUGGCGGAGGUUGUGCCUGUGUGCACUGCCUUGAUGGAUGUUGAGAGGCUUUAUGGAUGUUGUAAAAGUACAAAUCUAACGACAUCUGAGGGCUGAGUUGCUAUCUUGUGUUUGGAUAAUCUUGUCAGUCUGUUCUUUUGUUCAUUUAUUUUAUAUGUUAUCUUAAGGACUUUAGCUGUCCUUUCUAUGCCCUGUUGAGGAGAGGUGGUGAAAAGCAUAGGUGCUCUUUCCUGUCUACUAAUUUCUCUAAUUUACUUGGUCCUCCGUUUUUCUAGGUUGGGGUGUCAUAAUUGGCUAUGAUUCACCUAUUUUCACUUGUAACUGAACUAUAGUUAAUGUCCAGACUCCAGAACAAAUAUGGAUGCACUUUCGUAUCUUCUUAAACAGCUCUGAAACUUUCAAUGUUGACAUGUUUAUUGUUUAGGGAGUUGAUGUGAUGUUUAACUGUUGGUUUCAGUUAAAUAUGGAUGGGAUACAGUUUUGCUUUGAAGUUAGUGUUUCAUAUUCAUCUGUGGCUCCUUCUAGUUAUCUAUGGUAGGGUGGCAGCUUUAUAUUUCUUAUUUUUUGUUGUCAAUCUACAGUUCACUUGUAUGCUUAGUAGAUUUUUCUUGACAGGUUAAGUUUAAAUAUCAUAUUACUUAUAGUUGUAUUUUGGCUCAUGUAUUUUAAUAAUUACUUGGUUUUCAAUGUAUUAUUUUCAUGAUCAAAUUUUACCUUCUUUCAUUUAUCUUAAACUAAUAAAUAGUUCUUUAAGUUGUUCACCGAGUCAGGAUCCUCUCCAUUUAUAAAAAUUAAUGGAGGAUGCCAUUUAGAAAGAGGUACACAAAAAAAAAGAUUGUGGGUCCUACCAUUAAAUGGAUUCCACCAUCAUUAAUUAUUUUUUAUUUUUUUUCAAAAUUGUGUGUCUUUAUCUCUUCAAAUGCAAGAAAUGGAGAAGGUCAUAAAUGGGGAAGAUCCUAACUCUUGUUCACCGCUACUUCUUAAUUCUCACUUCGUGUAGAUUUGCUUUACCAUCAAAGAUAACUAGUUUUCUUUGAUAAAUUUGCAAAUAAUUUCUUGUGGAUAUGCCCGAUGACGAAUUUUUCACUGCUAGAUAUGUUACUCUGAAUAUCAUUCACAGCUUUUCCAUCCAUUCUACCUUUCUCCCCACUGUCAUUACUACUUACUAUGCUGCUGCUGCUAUUGUUGUUGUUGUUGUUGUUGUUGUUGUUAUUGUUCUACUUCUUUUUCUUCUUCGUCUUCUCGUUAUCAUUAUUGUUAUUGCUACUACUGACAGUGGGUAGAGACGGUAGAGGUGUGUGGUUCUCUCUUUUGUGCUCUGCCUUGAUGGAUGGCGAGAGGCUUUUAUGGAUGUUGAAAAAGUACUAACCUAAUAAUAUCUGAGGGCACAGUUGCUAUCUUAUGUUUGAAUCAUCUUUUCAAUGAUUUCUUUUUGAAUUUUUGCUUAAUAUGUUAAUUUUCAUGAAUCAUCAUUAACAUAUUUCCUGUUCUAUAUGGCAAGUAUUUGUUUGUCUUGGUAAUUCUAGGUAUGCAUCUGCUGCCAAGUUGGAGAGAAAGGUGGUAAUGAGCCGUGACAUGGUUUUGUUCAUAACUUGGACCUGCACCGUUAUCUCUCUCUCAGACUCAUCAAUUUAUUAGAUGGUGCAAGAAGGUUGUGAAUGAAGCUAGUGUCGGAAGCCACAAAUGAUUUCCAUCUAGCUAUGAUGAGGCAUUUAUUUUUUCUGGCAAUUUUUUGGCACUUUUUUGUGACUGAUUUUUGCUAUAUCUUCUAUGAAUAUUCAUGCCCUUAGCUAUGAGCGCAACAGGUUUUAGCGUUUUCUUGCACUAUUUUAUAGAAAUGCACACCCUAAGCUUCCCACGAUUUGGGGUUACCAGUAACAGCUCAUACACAUAUGUACAUGAGAUUUUGACAUUGUUGAAUAUUGAUGUUGCUUGCUCUUUUUUUUUUUUUUGAAGUGAACCCAUAAAAUGGAUUUUGUCAUGUUUGCAUUUGGAUGAUUAUUGGAUUAUAUUGUUUCAAUUCUGUUUUCUGGAUUUUCAUAGAACCUUUGGCAUCAAGUUUGGCUUUUAAUCUCACCAUGUUCAUUUUUCUUUGAUUACUUUUACACAUUUUUAAGUUUAUUUUCAGUAUCUAAUAUCUGCAGAGACACUGAGACCGCAUGUAAAUCUCUUAGAUGAUAAAAUCAGUGUGUUAUUAUAUCUUUGUGAAAAAAGGUAGUUUUAUAUCAACUUCAUUCAUUUAUUUGUGUUUUCUCCACUUGAUUUAAAAUUGCCGAAGUUUAAAUGGAGGACAAGGAGAUCAAAACUAUGGAGCACGGACACUCCUCGGAUUAGCUGUGUCGUGUCCGACACCGACACGACACCGACACAUAUAAUUACACUGAAUUAUGUGAUUUUCUCAAAUUAUAAGCGGAUUAGCCAUGCCUCAUAGGAUCAAAACAUAUUUUUACUCUUUGAAUUAAUUAGUGAUAUUGUAGCAAGUUAUCUACUAUGCUAUAUUGCCCAAUGAUGUGAAAACAGACUAUUGAGCAGCUACAUGGUUUUGUUCAUAACUCUACUUGCACCAUUCUCUCAAUCUCUCUUUCUCUCUCUCAAUGUGUGUGUGUCUGUGUGUGUGUGUGUGUGUGUAUAUAUGAUCAUAUCAUCUCUCUCUCUCUCUCUCUCUCUCUCUGGAUAUGUCUAUCCAUCCAUCAAUCUAUUAUGAUGCAAGAAAGUUGUGAAUGAAGCCAUUGUAAAUGCCGUAGAUGAUUUUGUUUAGGUAUAAAAACUGAGGGCUUUCUGUUUUUAUUUUCUUCUGUCAAUUGAGCUAAGUGAUAGUUAUUACAAAAGUGAUUUCUGGGUUUCUACUAUUCUUAAGAAGUUAUAGCUAUUAUAUGCUGUUGCAGAAACUCAAAAUGUAUAGUACUUGGCUCAAAGACAGUUUGAAAGUAUACUAAGUUGCAUUUAGCGUCAAUGUCUGAUAUUACAUCAUAAUAGAUUUAAUGGAACUAGCUCAAUCAAAAGCCUGGGGUUUUGCUUGAAGUAGUUCUUUCUGGGCUUGUUCAGCCUGUGCUUUGGCUUGAGCUAAUUCCCCUAAAGUAUAUUAAAUGGUUAGCUGCAAACUCUACUUUUAGCUGCAGCUUUUGCUGACUUUUUCACACUGUCUUAGGUUAUGUAUUGGCUCUUUUCUGAAUAUUUGAAGCUUAAAUCCAUUGUUCCCUUUGCUCCACAGAAGGGCUGAAAUAUACUCUAUAAGUGUGUCAUUAACAACAAUGGUCUGAUAUUGUACUUUUAGUUCUAAGUUAGAAUCUUAACUUUUUAUUUCUUAUUCUCAAUCUAUAGUUCUGGUUAUGCAUAAUAGAUUUUACUUGGCAGGAUAAGUUAGGCAUCCUUUUAAUUAUGGUUGUAUUUAGGCAACCGUAUUUUAUUAAUUACUUGAUUUUCCAAUGUACUAUUUCCAUCAGCAUAUAUACUCUUCUACUUCCUUUAUCUUGAAAUUUUGAGUACUUCUUUAAGUUGUUUAUUGCUACUUUUGACUUUUCAUUUGAUGACUGCCUAUUAUGCUUACUCAAGUCCCUCCGGAAAAAAUCCCUAUUCUGUCUUCUCAAUGUGCCCAAUGAUGAAUGCUUGUUAAGAUAUGGUACUCUGAAUAAUAUUUAAGCCUUUCCGUCCUAUCUGCCUCUCUUCAAACUGCCAUCACUAUGGUCUUCUUCUUAAUCUUCUUCUACUUGUCACCAUCAUCUUCAUCUUCAUCAUCAUCAUCAACAUUGUUAUUAUUGUUAUUACUAUUAUUAUUAUCAUCAUGAAUUAUUAUUAUUAUUCAUAGUGACAGUGGGUCGAGAUGGUGGAGGUUGUGCCGUGUGUGCACUGCCUUCUUGGAUGUUGAGGGGCUUUUAGGGAUGUUGAAAAGGUACCAAUCUAACGAUAUCUGAGGGCUGAAUUGCGAUCUUGUGUUUGGAUAAUAUUGAGUUUUGCCAUUUGCUUUUUAAUGAUUACUUUGUAUUUCUCUGUUUUAUGAUAAAACUUUUAUGGUCAUCAUCAAAUUGACCAUUUUUCCUUUAUCUUAAACUAUUGAACAGUUCUCGAUUUUCACUUGGUGUAGGUUUGUUUUGCAAUCAAAGAGAAGUAAUUUUACUUGUUCAAUUUCACUGGGGUAAAUUUGCAAAUAAUUUCUUCCUGAUACGCCCGAUGACGAAUUUUCACUGCUAGAUAUGUUACUCUAAAUAUCAUUCACAGCUUUUCCAUCCAUUCUGCCUUGCUCCCCACUGUCAUUGCUACUAACUAUGCUGCUGCUACUGCUGUUAUUGUUGAUGCUAUUCUUCUACUUUUUCUUCUUCGUCGUCUUAUUAUCAUUGUUGCUGUUGUUAUUACUACUGACAGUGGGCAGAGACGGUAGAGGUUGUGGUUUUUCCUUUUCUGCACUGCCUUAAUGAAUACCGAGAGGCUUUUAUGGAUGUUGAAAACAUACUAACCUACUAAUAUCUGAGGGCAUGGUUGCUAUCUUGUGUUUAAAUAAUUUUUUCAAUGAUUUCUUUUUGUAUUUUUUAUUUGGUAUGUUAAUUUAAUUAAUGAAUUAUUACUAUCAUCCUUCCUAUUUUAUCUGGCCAGUACUGUUUUGAUAAUUCGAGGUGCAUUUAUUUGAUGUCCAAGUUGGAGGGAAAGAUGGUGAGGAGUUAACGUGGAUAGUGCACAUGUGAAAGUUUGUUGUAUUGAUGUUAGAAUUAUGCUAGCAACACAGUCUCUAACACAUUAUUUCCAACUCUAUCACUCUAAUUGGUUGGAUUUAAACGGGUCCCGCUAAAUUUAUGUGGCUUAUAUGAUUUAGUGGGAUCCAUUUGAAUUUCAACCGAUUAGAGUGUGUUGCUAGCACUCCUCUUGAUUUUAUGAUUCAUUUAGAUUUGAUUAUGAUCUGAAUUAUUUGAUUUAGAUGUGAUUUAAAUUUCUGUUUUAUAUCAUUUUCCUUUUAAUCCUUCAAUCUUUUCAGAUGAAUAAAAGAAACUACUGUCAUCCCCUCUCCUAAAUUGACGUGCUGCCAGUUUUUUUCUGAAUAGCCAAAAAGACGAAUUGCACUUUUAGCAUAACCAGUGAAAAUGUAGCUAGUUGUUUUUAUGCUGCCCUAUGAUGUAAAAACAGACUAUUGAGCUGUGACAUGGUUUUUUUCAUAACUUGACCUGCACCAGUAUCUCUCUCUCUCUCUAUCUCUAUCUCUCUCUCUCUCUCUCUCUCUCUCUCUCUCUCUCUCUCUCUCUCUCUAUGUAUAUAUAUGUGUGUUGUGUUUGGUUUUGUUAUAUCUGUCUCUCUCUCUCUCUCUCACUGUCAUCAAUCUAUUAGCUGGUGCAAGAAGGUUGUGAAUGAAGCGCUAGUGUCGAAAGCCGCCGCAAAUGAUUUCCAUUUAGCUAUGAGAUCUGAGGGCUCUGCAUAUAGCAAUAGGAUGCAUGUCAUGUUGCAGUUUUGAUUUACUUCUGUUCAAAAUUACCUCUGAGAAAAAUGAGAAUGGUCCCAAAAAAUUAAUCUUUUGCAUUGAAUGUUGACAAGCUGUUGUUUUUCCUGCCUUGCUGAAUUGCCGUGUUUGAUAGGACAAUUUACUCAUAUAUCUUUAUUUCUAGAAUGAUCUUAUGGACUGUUUUUCCUUUUAUGCUUUACUAGUGAACGACGAAGGAGCUUGUCUCAUGUUUGUAAGGUCUUCAUCACAUGCCUUAUAUAUUUCUAAAUGUUAACACUUGUUAAAAAUCAUAAGUCCAUUACUGUAAAAUGUCUACAUUAAUUUUCCUGUCCAUCCCACGGCUACACACUAAGGCUUUUGUAAAAAAUACUAAAGAUAUGGUUCAAACCUUGGUGAUGACUCUGCUGGAUUAGUCCCAAGGUACUCUGCAUUUCUGAGGGAAUUCUGCCUUAAGGUGAAAUAAUGAAUAGAACGUGGUAACACGGAACAGUGCUGGAGCUGAAUACAUAGCAAUGGCUUAGAAUGUGUGGAAUACUGUAAUAAAGGGAUUCUGGAAGAAUAUCAUAUGAACUUACUAAUGUUGCUGUGACCUGUACGUGGUUUCCUGAUCAAACCAAGUGUGUGAAAAUCUUUAGACAUUUUAUAAAAUUGAUGUCAGAUGAAGGUUAUUUGGAUGUAUUUUGUAAUUAAGUUGGAGUUUAUUUUCACUUUGAAUCUUUUGUAAAUAUGUUGACCAUUAAUUGGUGAAUAUCUAUGUACUGACUUGGGGAAGUUCUAAUAAUAAGAGACUGAUAUGAGUAAUUGUUUGGAUUA